GCCUCAAGGAACAUGUAAAAUAGGACCAUUUCCCAGUACACCGUGCCCAUCGGGAACGUACUGUAAAAAUUCUGUCUGCUGUAAAAUACCUUGUGAUUAUGGUGAUCCUCAUCCAACACGUUUUUGUGGAAUGGUUGUCAGUUCCAACAAGUGUCCUACUGGAUACCAUUGUAAAGGUGGGCCGGCUGAUGAAUACCAUGCUUGUUGUCCGAACGCCAAAACAACGAAAAUAGGCCUAUGCCCAAGGGACAAAUACCCACAGACUAAGUGUUACGUUCAAAGAAACUGCAAAAAUGACGCAUCGUGACCUGGAACAAAGAAAUGUUGCAAGCAAGGUUGUCGUUAUAAAUGUGUAUAUC